rnacentral:misc_RNA from 1 species
GAGAGAGAGAGAGAGAGAGUAACUGUGGUAUUAUUGAUUUGAUGAAUAACUAUCAAUUACAAUGAAGGGCUAUUUAUACCAUUCACCCUUAUUUUCUAUUUCAAUGUGUAACUACUUAAUCCAAUUCAGCUCACUAAUUGCUUAGUCAUAGCACGUUGCUCAUGUGAAUUGUGAUUCCUUCCUCACUGUUUUAUAAUAAGUAAUAACACAAUCAACCAAUAGUUAUAACUAGGUUCAAGUUGGGCCAAAUCUAAUGUAUUGAGUUGAGCUCGAUCCAACCUAGGGUUUUGGGCUUGUUUAAGAAAUCAAGUUUGACAUAUAACAUUUGUUAUAUAUUAAGGGUUUGUUUAGGACUCAUAUUGGAGUUGCUAUUGGGAAAAUCACCAGCUUCAAUAUGUUAAUUAGAGACCAUUAAUUUUUUUUAUAUGUUAAAUUUAACAUGAAAACAAUAAUUUCAAACUACUUUUUGUAAAAUCUAGAUUGGAAAAGUGGUUUCAACGAAUGCCUAACAUACUCCAAAAGUAGGGGUG